GCAGAACAGGGGUUUCCUAACAACUCUCAACACCCUUAACUGUUCCCAGGAUUCACUGGGGGAACCCAUGGCUGUUUAAAGUGGCAUGAUACUGCUUUCAGCGCAUAGUGCAGAUGGGGCCUAAGAAUAGUGUGAAAAGCUUACAUUGAGGUUUAUGAAGCGACUGAGUCCUUGAAAGCUCCACAAACAGUAUGUGCACAGGGGUUGGUUUCUGCUGCCUCUUAUCUUUUUCCUUUUCUUUGAUAGGGUAUGUGGGAUAUGUUAGGUAGAAACUAUGUGCUUUAUAGAACUGAGUAUCAUGCUGCAGGUCUGAAUCGAUUCGGAAAACGUCAACAAUACCCUAAAUUAGAACCUGCUUUUUUUUAGAUGUCAGUCCUCAGAGGGGCUGGCCCUACCUUUUUGAAGAGUGAGGUGGCCACCUCAGGCGCUGGCUCCGGGUGUCAUGAAAGGGCACCAAAUUGUUUGUUACUGCGGUUUAAUAAUUAGUAGCAUUAGCAAUAUUAGCAUUGUGGUUUUUUACUGCUGUGGUGGGGGAGAGGUGCUUGAGGGAUUCCCUGCCUCAGGUGCCAAAAUAACUUGGCUGGCUGUAUUUUUUUUUUUUUACAGAACUCUUGGGCCUAGACAGUACUGGGCAAGCUGCUGUCGAUCUCAUUUCCCCGUAGUCAGGAUAGAAGAUGAUGAAUGUGAUAAGAAUUUCUAAGUAAUGCAGAAGGAUAAAGUUUCCAAGCAGUAUUAAUGUUUUCAAGUGCAAGCAUUUCACAAUCACAUUUUGUAAAAUACUUUGGCCACCUCAUGAGAAGAGAAGACUCCCUGGAAAAGGCCCUGAUGUUGGGAAAGAUGGUAGGCACAAGGAGAAGGGGACGACAGAGGACGAGAUGGCUGGACAGUGCUCUUGAAACGACCAACAUGAGUUUGACCAAGCUGCGGGAGGCAGUGGAAGACAGGAGUGCCUGGCGUGCUCUGGUCCAUGGGGUCACGAAGAGUCGGACGCGACUAAACGACUAAACAACAAAAACGGUUUGUGGAAUAAUCAGCAUUGUUCUGAC